GAUGAACGCUAGCGGCAGGCCUAACACAUGCAAGUCGAGGGGUAGAAGUCUUCGGACUUUGAGACCGGCGCACGGGUGCGUAACGCGUAUGCAAUCUGCCUUACACUAAGGGAUAGCCCAGAGAAAUUUGGAUUAAUACCUUAUAGUAUAUUGAUGUGGCAUCACAUUAUUAUUAAAGAUUUAUCGGUGUAAGAUGAGCAUGCGUCCCAUUAGCUAGUUGGUAUGGUAACGGCAUACCAAGGCAAUGAUGGGUAGGGGUCCUGAGAGGGAGAUCCCCCACACUGGUACUGAGACACGGACCAGACUCCUACGGGAGGCAGCAGUGAGGAAUAUUGGUCAAUGGUCGCAAGACUGAACCAGCCAUGCCGCGUGCAGGAUGAAGCAUCUAUGGUGUGUAAACUGCUUUUGUACGGGAAGAAACACCCCUUCGUGAAGGGGCUUGACGGUACCGUAAGAAUAAGGAUCGGCUAACUCCGUGCCAGCAGCCGCGGUAAUACGGAGGAUCCGAGCGCUAUCCGGAAUCAUUGGGUUUAAAGGGUCCGUAGGCGGUUUUGUAAGUCAGUGGUGAAAUCCGGCAGCUCAACUGUCGAACUGCCAUUGAUACUGCAGGACUUGAAUUACUGUGAAGUAACUAGAAUAUGUAGUGUAGCGGUGAAAUGCUUAGAUAUUACAUGGAAUACCAAUUGCGAAGGCAGGUUACUAACAUUAUAUUGACGCUGAUGGACGAAAGCGUGGGGAGCGAACAGGAUUAGAUACCCUGGUAGUCCACCCCGUAAACGAUGGAUACUAGCUGUUUGGUUGUAAGACUGAGUGGCUAAGCGAAAGUGAUAAGUAUCCCACCUGGGGAGUACGGGCGCAAGCCUGAAACUCAAAGGAAUUGACGGGGGCCCGCACAAGCGGUGGAGCAUGUGGUUUAAUUCGAUGAUACGCGAGGAACCUUACCAGGGCUUAAAUGUAGUGGGACAGGCUUGGAAACAGGCCCUUCUUCGGACUCAUUACAAGGUGCUGCAUGGUUGUCGUCAGCUCGUGCCGUGAGGUGUCAGGUUAAGUCCUAUAACGAGCGCAACCCCUGUCGUUAGUUGCCAGCGAGUCAUGUCGGGAACUCUAACGAGACUGCCGGUGCAAACCGUGAGGAAGGUGGGGAUGACGUCAAAUCAUCACGGCCCUUACGUCCUGGGCUACACACGUGCUACAAUGGCCGGUACAGAGAGCAGCCACCCCGCGAGGGGGAGCGAAUCUAUAAAGCCGGUCACAGUUCGGAUUGGAGUCUGCAACCCGACUCCAUGAAGCUGGAAUCGCUAGUAAUCGGAUAUCAGCCAUGAUCCGGUGAAUACGUUCCCGGGCCU
rnacentral:rRNA from 1 species